CCUUCCCCUGGAAACAUUGCAGGUGUGACUGCUAUAUCACGUGUGCAUCACUAGGUGGCGGAGAGGAGAGAGGCUAUGUCUGUGCUCAGUGCUCUGACCUAUGAACAUCUGAAUGAUUAGGAGCCUAACAUU